rnacentral:misc_RNA from 1 species
UUAUUAUUAUUAUUAUCAUCGUCAUCAUGAGAAUCACCGCCAUUUCUAUUCUUGAAUGACAACAAAGAACCGCUCUCUUUCAUAUUUGAAUAACUUGAAUGUAACAAGAAUUUAGAUUAUAAUGAUUAUUUUCACUAAUUUUAGAAAUUUGAUUAAACUUUGAGAUUGAAUCAAACGUCGUAUGAAUUAGUACUCAAGUCAAAUAUUGGAUUCUUG